UACAGAGGUCUCAAGCGUUGUUCGGAUUCAUUGGGCGUAAAGGGUGCGUAGGUGGCGAGGUUAGUCAGGUGUGAAAUCUCGGGGCUCAACCCCGAAACUGCACUUGAUACUGCCUUGCUAGAGUACUGGAGAGGGGAUUGGAAUUUACGGUGUAGCAGUGAAAUGCGUAGAUAUCGUAAGGAAGACCAGUGGCGAAGGCGAAUCUCUGGACAGUUACUGACGCUGAGGCGCGAAAGCGUGGGAAGCAAACAGG
rnacentral:rRNA from 1 species